CCUACGGGAGGCAGCAGUGAGGAAUAUUGGUCAAUGGUCGGGAGCCUGAACCAGCCAAGCCGCGUGAGGGAGGAAGGUACUGCGUAUCGUAAACCUCUUUUGUCAGGGAACAAAGUCGGGGACGUGUGCCCUGAUGAGUGUACUUGAAGAAUAAGCAUCGGCUAACUCCGUGCCAGCAGCCGCGGUAAUACGGAGGAUGCGAGCGUUAUCCGGAUUUAUUGGGUUUAAAGGGUGCGUAGGCGGUCUGUUAAGUCAGCGGUAAAAGCCCGGGGCUCAACCCCGGCCCGCCGUUGAAACUGGCUGUCUGGAGAUGGAGAGAGGUAUGCGGAAUGCGCGGUGUAGCGGUGAAAUGCUUAGAUAUCGCGCAGAACUCCGAUUGCGAAGGCAGCAUGCCGGCGCCACACUGACGCUGAGGCACGAAAGCGUGGGUAUCGAACAGGAUUAGAUACCCUUGUAGUC
rnacentral:rRNA from 1 species